CAUAAGCUAUCAGCAGAAGGUACUGUACUUAAAUUUAAAAUCUCAUCCAGUUUUAAAUUCCUUAAUCUCACUGGCACCCACACACAUCCCCAUUCACCCCUACAUGCACACAAAAGUUUUAAAUUCCUCAUUCUCACUCUCACUGCAGUGAAAGGGACUUUUGUACCCUUGGUUCGGAAGGACACAUUUCCCCAUCCCACUAUAUUUCAGAUUGGCAAAUACCCUGAGCUGAUGAUGGUGUUUUUAAACAUUCCACCUUUUCAUGCAUGUGCAGGUCGAGUGUACAGUAGUGAAAACCACACGCAGCGUCUUCCCUGCAGAACCUCGAGACAGCUCGGACAUUGUUCAGCUCCCCAGCCCACUCCCACUCGCCUGUCUCAUCUCUCGCUUGAAAACUGGCACUCUAUUUUAAAAACAAAAUUACAUUCCCACGCGGCACUGGAGUGAAAGUUGGGCUGUAUUCUCUGGGAAUAGCUCAGUUCCCAGUGCAUAAAGUAAAACCAUAGCAAAUGGGAGACGUGUGUGGCCUCCAAAUGACAGGAGAAAGUCAAACACAAAGGGGAUGUUUGGGGAAAGAGCUGCAGUCUCAGAUUUGAUCUUUAUAAAAUGGAGUGGUUCUUUCACAAUCAUGCUCCAAGGCAAAUUUAGAACCCACAUUUUGAGAGUCAAUUUGUAAACAUCAAGUCUUGUCAGAGGCAGCAGAGGCUGGGCACUUCACAUUUCCAUAGUUUCAGCGAGAACUUAGUGGUGGCGGCAGGUCUUCUCUCCCCUCAUCCCGUCAGCCUGAUUAAGUUCUGAGAGACCUCUGCUGAGGGAGCCAUUCAGAAGCUCACAGUUUUGCUUUGAAAAAUACACACACAUACACACGUGUCAAACCAUAAAACAUGUCCUCGGUUGCUCCUGGAGGAGCCAGUUCCUGCUGGGUUUUGCAUAUUAAAGUAUUCACACAAAAGUCAACUGAGACAUAUACAUAUUGCUAUAUGUUCCGGUCUUAUAAUAAAAAGUGAGUUUAAAAGAUCCA
rnacentral:lncRNA from 1 species